rnacentral:lncRNA from 1 species
GCUUCCAUGGGAAGUGAACGAAACUGCCUUGGUAGAGAUGAAGACUGCCUAAAACUCGGAGGAUGUGUACAAUAAAUGGCAUGGGAUGCAUCCCCUCUUAUAUCAAUUGCCAUGCGUCGAGUCCUAGAGGAAACUUUAUUUAGAUUCUAGAAUGUCGUAGCACCAACGCCAAAUUCCAUGUCUUAGCCAAAUUCCAUCUUC